GCGUGGGUGGCUCAGUCGGUUAAGCAUCUGACUUCACCUCAGGUCAUGAUCUCAUCGUAGGUGGGUUCAAGUCCCACCUGGGGCU
rnacentral:tRNA from 1 species